UUGUUUGUUUAUUUACAAAGUACGAACAGCUGCAACCCUCCCUAGCUGAAGAGACCCUGUCGCUGGAAGAGGAAAAGCCCUUCAAGACUCGUGGAGGCUGUUGGCAGGAGCAUCUCGGGGACAUCGAUUGAUUUAUUUGCUUAUUCAGUAGGCUGGUUUGGGUGCUUGGUCUGACUUGCCCAGACUGUCGCUGAGAUAUUUGGAAGCUUGAACAUACAGCUGCAGAUAAGUGAAGAUGAAAGAUUAUGCCCUGCUGUGUCUGCAUAAACUGUCUCACAUCAAUCCAAGUUGUCAUGGUGAGCAGAGAAAUUGAGCUCCAUUGCAAAGCCAGAGUUGCAGGGCUGACUGGGAAGCCACCUAGCAAAAGAUGCCAGCAGAUGCUUGAAAAAGGAGAAGCCAAGGUGUGGCAGGAGUUACUGCCUUGGAGGGAACUUGCCAAAGGAUUAGCCAUGGCCUUCACAUCAAUGUUUUCAUUAGUCCUAGCAGUACAAAAAAAUGGAAUUUUUCCUAUGUAAUUUACUAAUGGCAUAGUUAGAAAAGAAGAUGUGACCCUGCAGCUUGGCUCAUGCUGAUUUUUACCUAUUUACUCCUCCUGCACUCAGAAAUUACACCACUAUUUUUUUAUUUUAUUUUAAACAUAAAAAUAGCCAUUUGCCAUCCAGAAUCACAGACUAAGGAGAAUUGUGGUCAAGAUUCCUAUGAUUCACCAGUAUAUUAUAUAUUUUAAAUAUUUUUUUUUAAAUAUAGGAAAUGCUGCCUUAAAUCAGGUGAACUGUUUCCAAUAGAGUUAGAGAGGUACUAAAGGCUCCUGCAAAGCACUGAUGCAAGUCUUUAUUAUAGAGUGAGAAAAGUGCUCAGAAUCCAUGGGAUAUUGGUUAAAAUUGGGGCUAUUGGAGAUAGUCUGAGAAGGUGAAAGGAGAUGAUAGCACAGAUAAUCUCAUGUCUCUUCCAAUGCUGAGAACCCAGAGCUGUGCAGCCUCAGCCAGACCUCUCGUCAGCACAUGCCACAUCACUCAAAUCCCAUCUGUGGGGACAUUUGCCAGCACUGAGAGCUUUAGGGCUUUACAAGGUGUCUUGAGAAUAGAAAACUCUAUUCAUCAUCUUUACUGUCAUGAAAAAGGACAGUGUAUGAAAACAGGCUGUUUCACUUCAAGUUAAGCCAAGACAACGGGUGGAGCCGUCACCAAGUGCCAAGUGUGAGCUGCCUAAAGCUCCCCCACACAGGUGAGCUGGCUCCACCUGUACCUGCAGCACGGGGUACAUCCAGUACAGCCCAGGGCCUGCACCCACUUGCAUCAGCUCUCAUGGAUCAGUAACCUCUGCAUGCCCACACAACCCUGACCACACUCUUCAGUGUACUGGCCCACCUUCAGACAAAAUGCUGUGCUCUGUUCUGUUAGUACGCUCAAAAAUUCCAAGAGACUUCACUGAACUAUGGGUGUACUAGGGGAAAUAAGAAGCUUAUAUCUCAGGAAGGUUUUAAGUUAAUUUGGCUUGAUUAGGUUAAAUUGAAGUCAGAUUACAACUUCUGCCUAUAAGCAAUACAUCCAGUAUAUACCAAUGCACACCUCCUUUGUUAGGAUGAAGCGUGGUAACUCACAGACAGAACAGCAUAACUGGAUACCUGAGAAAGGAAUGAACUAGCCAAAGGGCAGGGGCAGCCCCUUCCCAUGCUGUGUUUCCCAAACUCAGGCCUUCCAGGUACUAUAUAAACAUAUUGCAUAGUCAUCUACAGCCAAUUUUUUGGUCACAAAGAAAAAAAAUGCAUUUAUAAUCAAAUACAUGUGAAACUCGCUGUCAUAAAAUUGUACCUAGGAGGUUUGAGAUUAAGUACUCUAAAAACUGGAAGGCAGCAUUUGGCCUUACAGUUUAAAUAGUAAAAAGAUUACAUGGAAAUUACCAAACAAAAUUCUCCAUGAGUUUGCCUCUUGUAAGUCUUCACAAUUACUUAGUUGAAAUGUUCUCAGCAGACUUAGGAUUGCAUAUUGCACUUUAUCUCUGCAAUUACACAAGCAUAACCGCUAUUGCAGGCAGAGACAAGGUUUAAUGCCAUCUUGUAAUAAUUAAAAAUGUUGGUGCAAGGAGUCCUACAACCAACUAACAGCAACAACUUUGAACUAAAUGAGAAACAGGAAAGAAAUACAUAAUGUAAGUAUUGCAUCAAUCACCACAACUUUCAAGAAAAUGCAAAACAGAGAAAUAUAGGUCUCUAACUUCCUAAAGGGGCUUCUUUGGACAAUUCAGAGACAGUCAAAUCUCCCACUUGUAGAGGGUUUUUUUAUUAUUUAAAACUAGUCAAGAAAUUACUCCAGCAUCUUUGUAAGAACUUCACUGUAGGUCAUUAAAACAAGUUUCUACCAGAUGCCAGCAUGUACUAAAUUUCCUCUAACAGAAAUCUUUUUGCAUGCUCCCCAUCAGACAUGUCUCCUCUCUGGCAUUUCCCCCUUAAGCUCCAGUGUAAGUUUAAUUUCAAUAUGAUUUCUUGGAAAAAUAAGCUCAUUUCCUUCCUGAAGAUGCAAGUACAAAAUGUAAUCUGAGAAAAAAGCACUAGCCUAAAAAUAUGUACCAAAAACAAGUGGGACAGCACUAGCCUAGAAAUUUCACUAGCAGAUACAAACAAAAACAAAAAAAACCCACAGGUCUGCAGAUGAAUUCUUAUUAUUUGUGUCUGGUAUAACUAUUUUUAAAAUAUCAUUCCAUUUGUUUGGACUGCUAUGUUUGAAUAUAGCAUUGAACAAAAAAAUCCCUAGGAGGCCUAACAAAAUUAUUAUGGACAAGGGAAGAAAAGGGGGAAACUAGAACUAGUUUCUGUUGUAACUAGAAAUACCUGAACAGUAUCAUUUUAUAUUAAGAUACAGAUUUCUUGUGAAAUACCUUACCUAUGCAGUAGACAUACCUAUGUAGUAGACAAACAUUAAAAUUAUUCAUUUAAUAAAAAGGAAAAAAGAAAAGUAGUAUUUUGACUGGUUAGUACCUCAUGUGCUGAUAAGUUUAUCAUCUCAAUCCAGCUACCAAGCUUCCAUUAUUUUCCUUUUAAGCCAGAAACAAGCAAGCUCCAACACCAUCACAUUUCACUGUUUGAAUAAUUAUGUAUGGUACUAUUAUGGCAUCAAGACUUCCGUAACUCCCUGGUGCCUUUUUUAGUUGCAUGUAAAAAAUCCAACUGAAAACAUUUCUGUAACAUUAGGGAAGAUUUUUACAAACAGCUGGUUUCUGUUAUUAAUUGUUCAGUAAUUAAUUGCUCACAACACAGCAGUGUUUUGUUGGAAAAAAUCUGUAACACUAAAACUGUAACAAUAUUUUUAUUUACACUGGUAGUCUAGGCAGAACAGAUUCCUCAGGAAAGGAACAACACCAAGGGUUCCUGGGUGAAUCAAGCAAGAGUUGAAAAGAGGGAAUGAAAAAUGAAGUAGCAGCCUUUGACAGAUUGGGUCUUUGUGAAAUGGGAAAUUAAGGCUGUCAGCCUUAACUCAGUGUUAACCAAGGGUUUGCACUGGAACUUCUGAUAACAUUUCAGCCUCUCAAAGCACUGACCAUUUGCAUGCUGGGGCUCUGCUACAGAGGAUGUUCAUGACCCCCUUGUGGCUGCAGACUGGGUUUUCUUCCAUGGAAAGCCAAAGAGGUGGUUUGAAUCCACAUACAUCCCAGCGUGGAGUGAGGAUACAGCUGUGCUGGGCAGUUAGGCUCAAGAGCACCAAAGAACUAAAACUUCCUGUAAUAUACUGGAGUCACAGACAGUGCUCAAAAGUUUUCUUUUUGGUUCUGCUCAUCAAAGAAGACUUGCCUGCCUGAACUUUCUUUCCUUCCAUCCCUGAGGCAAUGAAGGUGCGAUGCAGUACUAGGAGGGCACCCAAACUGCCCAAAUUCACAGCCUUACAAACCACCACAUACUGCAACCUGCUUGCUACUCGCCACACCUGCCAUGCAAGAACUGAUUGAUAAAUGUCACAUAAAUUCUGGGAUGGUGAUUUUCACCUCAGAUUUUCACUUUCCACUCAUAACCAACAUCAUUUGACUAGAAAAGAGUAGCUGGUGGAAAGAGCACUGUUGGAUAAUGCAAAGCUCAAUAUGUCAGAGGACCCACAAUGUACUAAUGGAAACCAAAUGGAGAUCUUGUAAUUUGUCACGGGGGAUGAAUGUGAAGUGAGGUGGAAGCCACAGGAUCUCACUCUUCUACCUGAUACCCUGGAAUAUUUUGUACAAACCAAGUACACCUCCUGUGGAGAAAUAUUCUGUACAAUGCAACAAAGAAUGCAAGGUUUGACUACAGCCCCAAUCAGAGCAUUUCGCAAAACAGUGGUUAGUAAGGUAUAAAACUUACCCCAAUUUUAUAUCUAAGUGGGGGAAUGAGAAUUUGAUACAAAAUUGCAAGGACAGGUUGAUGGGUUUGUCCUCCUUGCCCUUCCCAGAAGGGAUACCUUUUGGUAAGUCUUGCAUCCUCAGCUAUGCUGAGUGUUGACCUGGGAUAUUCAGCUUGUGAUUGCAAUCAUAUUGUUAGUGCUAUAUACAGCUACACUGCAGUUAAUGCCUUUAUCACUGGCAAUCCAAAAGAACCAUAGAUGUUGCAGCCAAUAAAUCCUGUUAUUCAUUAAUCCAGCUGUCUCUUCUGAAUAUGACCAGACCUAUAGUCCAUAGACUAUAGCAUGGGGUCCAUAGUUACACAUCUGCAACAAGAACCAGCUAAAGAGCAGCUGAGUAAUGUCUGGGUUCCCAGGCUCUGAAUUUGAAACUGAAUGUUCUUCUAAACACAAAACUAUUUAAAAAGUGUUAGUAAUUCUAUUACAACUUGAUAUUUUAGAAAGGAUUACUAUAAUUGAAGAAAACCAUUUUCUUGGGUGUUUCAAUUCAAUGUUCCUCUUGAAUAUAGAGAAUCAUCACAUCAAACUUUUGGAUUUAAAGAAAGAAACUACAGAAAAAUCCAUGGAAUUGUAUCACUUUUUUACACAAGACUGAAGACUGACUAGUAACUUUUAUGUAAAUCAUGUUUUCCCAAGCAAGCAUAUAUGAUUUUCAUUAAGCAAUUCCUUCCAUUCCUUUUUCAGUCAUAUCAGUGUGAGAAACUGGAAACCUGAAACAGUUAAUGUCUCAAACAUUUGGCAGAAGAUAAAAUGAAUGUUACCAUGCCAUCUAGGUGCAGUUAAAAAAAGAGGGUCUUGCAGAGGCAGGAGAGUGUUUUUCUGGGGUCAACUUGCUUAUCUUGGGGAACUAUUUCUAAAAACAAGUUUGACAAAGCAGUGGACUUGGAUCUGUCAGGGGAAGGGAUUUGAAACCACAAGACCCCCCCAGUCUCCUUCUGAAAAGUUAAAGAAUAACAAAAUGCACAUGGGCAAGGACUAGUUUAUAAGUAGUAAAACAGAGAGGGGCAGGGUGUGAACCCAUAUCCCUGCACUCACCAUCCACAGGAACUAGACCAGAAACAGUGUUGGAAGUCUGGUUAGUGACCCAGAUCUUUUCUCCUCUGUUUCCCCAUUUUUCCUUUUUCCUUUCUUCCUCUUCAUAAAACUUUAAUUUGUUGUUGCCACAUGUUGUCCAGAAAAGCUUUAUCCACAGCUGUUCAAAAACUAUGGCUGCUACAUGUUGUUCCAAAAUGUUGAAGUGGCUGCUACAGACCGUCCAGACUACCAUAAAGUUUAAAUCAUUGUUGCCAGAAGGUUAUUGAUGGCUAAUUGAUUGCCUUUCUUUCACCACAGUUUAGCACAAGGGUAUCCCAAGCAUCAGCUACCUCAGAGUAGGUGGCCCAGGACUGCCCUCUAGGGACCCACAAUCAAUCAGAACAAGAUCCCCUCAGAAACUAAUAAAGCCUUUGUCUUUAGGCAGAUUAAAUUUCUAAAUGCAAUAACAAUUAAUUAUUAAAACAUAGACAAUAGAAAUUACAAUUCAAAAUCUAUAACACUCCUUCAGGAAUGCAGAAAGUAAUUUUGCUGGUAACAAUAGCAAUCCUUUACACAUUAAAACAUCUCUGAAAACUGGGGGGGGGGUUUCUACUUUGUGUAUCAUAGCUAACUGCUGGUUUUGCCCACGAGGUGCUGAGAAACCUGCUACAAGCCCUGCAGAGCUGGAGCAGUCCACCAAGACAAGGUGUGUGGGAAACUUUCUGGGGCUCAGUGAUGCUCCUCAGAUGCACUGAGCCACCUUUGCUUCUGGCAUUCUAGCCAAGAGAACUAUCACAUUAUCACUUACAUUUGUGUGUUUAUAUGGACAAAAAAUUAAGGUGUCCUUUUUAAAUGCAAUUUAGAAAUUGAAGAAGGGCAGAGAAAAUAACCUAGCAUAUUUAAAUAACGAAGAAAUACAAAAACUUGUUAUAAAAAGUUGCUCUUACCUAAACAACACCUUUGCGUUUUUACAGUAGGAUGCAUUUACUAUUUAAGAGGAAGCUGAAAAGAAAAUGGAUAUAUAUGCUGCCACAAUAUAGUUUCAAUUUAAUCACAAUGAAUUUAGAAGAUUAAAAUUGUUUUCAUUACACUAUUUAUAAAAAAGAUCAUAUGACUAUUCAUUUCCCCUUUUGUCUAAACACAAUAAAAUUAAUCCUGUAAUUAAAAAUUAGGUAGAGUCAGUCAGAUUAAUGUCUUACACCCUGAAUAAGUGAAUAAGCAAUGCAUUCUUUCUCAUCUCUGAAACACUACUGAUAAGGACACACAAUAUUCAGGCUUGUCCUUCAUAAUAAAAAAUAAUAUGAUAAUAAAAGCCAGCAGUAUUUUUAGUGCUAAUACAUUUUAAAAUUUAAACAUAUUUUGUUACAGCUUGUCACACAGUGAAGACAAAACCAUUCAGUAAGCACUUUGGUGUGUCACAUUUAUAUAAUUUCAUCCUUAUUUCCUAAAUACUAUUUCAUCGUUAACUUCUAAUGAAAUCAGUGCACAAGGUUAGGGAAGCGCAUUGCAUUUAAAAUCAAAUUCCCUGCUGUCUGAUGCACUAACACAAAACAAUCCUCUAAAAAGGAAUAAUUACCAUUGCCUCCAUCCUUCCCUCCCUCUCCCAUCUUCAUUUUUAUGGUUUCACUACAUUUUUUUUCUAUCAUGUAAGAAACUUCAGACAAAAGGAAAAAAAAAGAUGAGGUAUAACUUGGGACGAAUCACUCAUACCUGUUGAGAACCUGAAUCCUACAGUGAAAACACUUUGCAGAAGAGGCAGGUGCAGAAGCAGCACAGCACUCCCCUCUUCAUUGCCCCAUAUUCAUGCACUGGAGCCACUGCAAACAGCAUGAGCCUGUGUGAGACUCAGGCUGGAAGGCAAGGACAAGGCAGCCAGGCUGCACGCAGAAUCAUAGAGAUAGUUUGGGUGCAAGGGGAUCUUGAAGAUUGUCUAGUUCCAAAGCCCCUGCCACAGGCAGGUAUACCAUCAAUUACACCAGGUUGCUCAAAGCUCCAACUAACCUGGCCUUGAACACCUCCAGGGAUGGAGUACGCACAGCUUCUCCAGGAAAUCUAUUCCAGUCCCUCACCACCCUCAGAGUAAAUAAUUUUUUCCUGAUAUCUGAUCUAAACCUACACUCUUUCACUUUUAAGCCACUCCCCCUUGUCCUGUCACUACAUGCUCUUGUAAAGCCUUGCCCCAUCUUUUGUGUAAGCUCCUUUCAGGCCCUGGAAGGGCACUAUUUGUCCUCCCCAAAGUUUUCUCUUUUCCAGGCUGAACAAUCCCAACUCUCAGAGAGUAAGCACUUGCUCCAGGAGCUGAGCAGAGAAGGCUGCCUCUCCACUCCUGCUGAGAAGCAAUUGACAUUUCCCCGAAUUAGGUCUCCUGCAUUUCCCCAGCUCCUGAGGAGCUGCAGCAAAAGGCUGCUCAGUAUGGCACUAUUGAGGACCAUGCUGGUCCCCAAGAGCUGUGCAGCAGCCUUGGGGCUGCUCCAGCUUCACCUUGCUGCAAGGAGAGUACCAGAGAGAGCAGAGCCAGGCUCACAGUCUCUGUUUAGCCAGGCAGGGUGAGGUGGUUUGUACUAGUGUUGUACCACAGCCAGAUUGACUGGCAGCAGCCUGAACAAAGAUCUAUCAUAGCAGUCUUGUUAAGCCACUGAGUCACAACCGCUGCUUGCCAUUGUCCAUUCUCAGUAUGUCUUAGGAGAAAGAGGGCAAAAGAAACAGCAAUGCAUAUGAAAAAAUAUGUAGUGCCU